GGAUGUGAGGGCGAUCUGGCUGCAACAUCUGUCACCCCAUUGAUCACCAGGGUUGAUUCACAGCUGAUCUAGCUGGCUAGGCUCCUCCCUCACUACUCCAUGUGCAUUCCUCCCCAAGCUGCGGGCUAGGUCAAAGAGGACCUCCUUCCCCGAAUAGAGACCAGUCUUUGGUGUAGGGUAUAGCUGCACUCCCCUGCUAGAACCUCCAAACAAGCUCUCUGUCUCCUCCUUCCCUCUCGAUUUCUGGCUGUUUCUAUCCAAUAAAUAAAGAUUAAAAAAAUACAAGAAUAUAAAACAUUUUAAUUUUGUCACUAAUAUGAGUUAGAGUAUCUGUCAAU
rnacentral:snRNA from 1 species